rnacentral:rRNA from 1 species
GGGGAAUUUUGGGCAAUGGGCGAAAGCCUGACCCAGCGACGCCGCGUUGGGGAUGAAGUCCUUCGGGGCGUAAACCCAUGUUGUAGGGGAAGAAGAAAGUGACGGUACCCUACGAGAAAGCCCCGGCCAACUACGUGCCAGCAGCCGCGGUAAAACGUAGGGGGCGAGCGUUGUCCGGAAUUACUGGGCGUAAAGGGCAUGCAGGCGGUGCGCCAAGUCGGGGGUGUAAAGUUACGGCUCAACCGUGACCUUGCAAUCGAAACUGGCGCACUGGAGUGCGGGAGAGGGAAGUGGAAUUCCCGGUGUAGCGGUGAAAUGCGUAGAUAUCGGGAGGAACGCCAGUGGCGAAGGCGGCUUCCUGGCCCGCGACUGACGCUCAUGUGCGAAAGCCAGGGGAGCGAACC